CGGAACGCGCGUUCUUUUGACGCAUUUCGAAUUUCACGAGGAAAAUUACACAAGCCGUGUACGUUCUUCUUGUACGGUUUCUACCGAUUUCUAUCCAUUCGACGAUACGAAUAUACAUGGAAAUUCAUUUUCCUCGAAGCUUCUCUACCUGGUGUACCUAUCUCUACGGAUACGCGUCGAUUUGACAUAAUCGUAAAAAAUAUGAAUACGAUAAACGAGCCAGCUGUUGACGAAAGUGAACGCCGGAAGUGAACACGAAGAAUACAGCGACCAUACUUGCGACAAAAUUUCUCAAAUUUCUAAAAAAAAAAUUUCUCAAAUCUCGAGUGGAUGAAAUGCUGUUUCACCUUGUGUAUUCGCCUUGGAAAACCUUAGGCAGAACAGAGCAAUAAGCUCGGAAGAAGAAACGAAACUCGGUAUAUGAGUCGCGUAAUUGCAAAAAUCGCGCAACCAAUUGCAGUUGCAGCUGUUCAAAUUCAACUUAUCGCUUCAAAUUCUCACAAACUGCCCUUCUCUAUGCGUCCGAAUAUGUCUAUUGGUUUGGCAACUAAUUGAUUGUGGAUUUUGUCAUUAAGUGGUAGCGACAGAUAGCGUCAGCAGUUCCACUUGAUCAUCGACAGAAACAUGUUGCAAUAUAGAAAAUGUUGCACCGAAGCAGAGACACAUGGUGUCUUAAAAAGUGAUUGGACAAUUUCAAUGGCUAAGUCAGUUGCUUUUAUUGCAAUUUUGUAAGUUCAGGCAGCAAAGAUACUGAAAGGUCUUUAUUUAUGGCGCGGAAAAUGGCCAGUCGCUUUCUUCUCGACCACAAUGCCAAGAGAUGAAUUGAUGCAAAUUCUUCGAUUUGAUAAAGGUUUGAUAAAAGAAGGUUUACGUACAAAAUUCAGCACACGUGUAAAAGAUGCGCGGAAUAUAUAUGAUGACAUAUAAUGUUGGACAUUAUAAAUCCUAUAUAUCAUCGUUUCAUUUAUAAAUCAACAGCGUAUAAUUAUAUUGUCUUCUUUUUUCAAGAAAAUUUAUGAUUUUGUUCAUACGUCAAAUCGACGCGUAGAGAUAGGAAUAUAUAGGAAAUGUGAGUAAACCUAGCGUUGAAGAUCUGUUUCGUGUUCGUUUCAGCGAGACGAUACUAGCGCCAAGACGAAGCUUUUUCGUUUUAAAUUUCUCGCCAAUCGCAUUGUGUUGCGUUGGAGUUUCUCUUUUACGUGAAAAGGCCAAUUACUGACUUCCAUCUCGAGAGGUUCUGUCUCGAGAUAAAGAAAAUUACUUUUCUAUUAUAUCGGCUUCUCUUAUACUUGAAAAGGCAAUCAUUGACUAUCUCAAAAUGAAAAAAAAGAU